ensembl:antisense Gm12002 predicted gene 12002
CUGUUCUUUAUGUUGGCCUCCUGACCAGGACUGAAUGGCUCAGGGGUGAGGAUCUGAAGUCUAAUUAGAGAGCAAUUGGUCACCACCGAGGUAUGUGUGACACAAAUGUACCCAUGUAAGCAUCCUGGAAAUAUCAGAAGCUAUAACCAUAAAGUCUCACUAACAUGAUCUAAAAAUGAGGUGAACAGGGACAACAACAGAAAUGUUAACAUGGAUGAGUGACAGCCAAAAAGGCCUCAACCCUACACAAAGAAGUACAGGCAACUAAGGAAUACUAGGGAAUGGAAGAAAUAGUCUUCUUCAGCAAAGAGCACACUGAUUGUUAUGCAACACCAAAUGGUCAGCCCUGAGAACUCAUGUAUUAGCAGCAUUACACAAACUGAGCAAAUAGAAUUUUAUCUUACCUACAAUAAUGACAAUGGAAAAAAAUGUCCUAUUGUUUUUUCAAGUAUUACCAGGCUUUAAUAUAAAAUGAAAAGCAUUCAUACUAGAAAAAAGCUUCCAAAAAGUCCAACACUUCCUUGAUUAAGACAUGUGCAUGGUCAUUUAAAAAAAAAAGCAGAAAAGGUGCUAAUCAGCCUCUCUGCACUGCAACCAUGACCGAGAACUCACAGCAAGGCAUGCUGGGGACGUAGCAGAGCUAUCCUCCCACGUACACACCAAGACCAGGACCUGCAGGAGCCUGAGUGCAUUCUUUAACGCAGGGACAUCAGCAGAUAUUUCUUCAGUAAUCUGAUCUGGCUUUAUAGCCAUGCCUAGCUCACAUAUCAUAAGAUCUUUGGGAAAAUAUACUCUGACU